UCUGAACCUAUUGUGUUCCUCUGGGAAUACAAUGCAGGAAUGAGUACUGCUUCUUGCAAGUUGUUCUCUGAGUUUUUAUUAAAUAUCAACAGAAGUGCAACAAUAUGAGACAGAACUUCAAACGUAAUCACUGCUGUUAGCUAGAAUAACAGGAACAACCCAGGAGCUAGACAAUAGUUCCCGUGCCAGGUCCUCAAGUAAUCUUGAUGCAGAGCAGACUGCAUGAAUAUCAGGACAAUUACCUCACUGAAAGUUAAUAUACUUUACCUCUUCAACCCCAUCACACACACACAAACAACACACACACGCA
rnacentral:lncRNA from 1 species